CUCCAGUGCUCCCCCGACGCUCUGUCCCUCUUCACCCCCCACCUAACUGAGGCUUUGUAACCCGAUGCUCUGUAAAGAGCUUUCCACAGGAGCAUCAAGAGAUGUCCUUGCUCAAUAUUAAACCUGUCCCCCGACUGCCCUCCUUCCAAACACAGUCCCCUCCUGAGGCUUCCACCGCAAGGCUUGGCUGGCAGGAGAAACUGGCCCAGCUGUUUUGAAUUAGGGGCAAUGGGAGGCUUCCUUGUAAUAUAUGACUUAAUCAGUGUCCCUGAAGUAAACAGUCCAAGCUGUGGCUGGAAAUGACCCGACAUUGGACUUCAUCAACCUCCUUUGACUCUGAAGCUGAGAAUGAAUUUGAAUCUCUAUAGGUGUGUUCUAGGGUCUCAUUAGCAGAUAGCUGUCCUUGGACCUCUGGAGGAGUGAAGUAUAUCACGUGACUCCUGCACUGUAGGCUUGGGAAAUUCAUUUUGCCUCCCAGUCUCAGAGUUCCUUCCUGCCAAGUGGAGAUGACAGCAUCAGGACCGGGCUGCAUAUCAGGUCCGGGCUGCAUAUCCUCCCAAGCGCUCUGUGCUGGACUGGAUGGACCCAAGCAGACAGCUCCCGAUGUUAAAGGUGGUGUGCUGUGAAGACACUGAGCACAGAAUGCCCACUCUGUCCUCUGUGAGGGGCUCACAGGCCACGCAGCAGGGAGUGCAUGGUAAUAUGCAAAAGUGCUCCACCCACACGGAGAGUCCGGUUCUUCUGGUAUAGACUGGCACCCCGGAACCAUCAUCAGUGCAACAUGGCUUCCUCUUUCAUUCCUCCGUCACCAGCUCUGUACUGCCGCCUGCCAGGUGCCAAGAAGGGUGCUGAUGCAGAUCCGCGAGUAACCAAGACACCAUCCCCUGCCUGGGAGAGCUGUGCUGCUCCAUCCUCACUGCAGUCCCACACUCUCUCAAAUGGACCCUUCAAGAUUGUGGCAGCCCUUAUUGCUGCACUAUCAGGAUUAGUGCUGGAGUUGUGAACCUAGAACAGCAAAUUCAAUUCCUCUCAAAUCAGUUUCUCAACAUCAUCCUUUAACCUCUUAGCAGGAUUGAGGGAGUUUCUUUCUGGUCAUUAGGCAGGUUGUGGGACUCACUUAAACCAAGCAGCAAAGAGGUUAAUUGACCAGGUUUGUGUUGUUAUUUAUAUGCCAUGUAAACACCCAGCUGGUCCUGGCCUUUACAUUUGGCCAUAUCUCAGCAGGGAUCACAGGAUGAACUUGACACUUGUGAGACUUCCCAGAGAGUUCUUGAGAUUGGGAACACAUUCUUUUGAAGUGUGUCAUCCGCUUCAAUCUAUUCUUUAGGCCAAAUCCUAAUAAUCACACCUGUCCUCCUUAUAAAAGUCCAAUUGUGGAUGAGGCAAUUUUUCCUCUUUCUGUCCGAAGAAGCGAUUAUUAUCUUUAAAAAAAGACAGUCUUAUAAGAGGCAAGUUCAAAUACAGAUUAAAAUAAUAAUAAUACUUAGCAUUUCCACCCCACCUUUCAUCUACAGAGCUCAAAGUACUUGGCAAACAUUAAUUAAUUCUCAAAACAGCCUUAUGAGGUGAGUAGGGGUAUUAUCUUUAUAAUAAUAUAUAAAUACUGGCUGGUUCAUGAAAGCAACCACUUAAAAGGGACAAUACUACAGGAUUAGUUUCAGAAACAGCCUUCUCACCUGGUCUAGACUUAAUAAUUUUGGGUAACACAUUUGGGAGUGCCAGAUUUCCUAAUAAUACGAUAUCCUGGAGUGAACAUAUAUAUCCUUUCAAAGUGAUGUCUCUAGUGGUUUAAGGCAGUCUUAUCUAUUUGAAGGAACUUUUUAUGUUAAAAAAUUCUAAUUGCGGGUUGUUCACUCAAAACGAUGUCAAUCUAUACAUGAAAGGAUUCUAAACUGUCCUAGUGCAUAAAGUUUAGUGGUGAGAGUCUGGGAUUCUAUUUCAAAUGUAUUUGCACUUGAAGGGGUUGUGACAAUUUCAAGGUUUUAUGUUUUUACUCAUCGAUUUAAAUUUUGAGCAUGUCACAAAACACAGCUCCAUGACUUGUCAAAAUGGGUACCAGCCAGAACUUCUGUCUCAUCACCAAAGAUGAAAAAUACCAAGACCUAGUAAAAGCUGAUCAGGAAUGCAUGAAAUUGGCUCCUGAAUGAAUCAUACAAAAAGGUGGUCUAUUUUUAUUUGGUAUCCUUUUCUUCCUUUGUCUCCUGUCAUGACCUCCCUUAGCAAAUAGAAUAGUAUUCCAUUUUCCAGUUGCUAACCUGAAUUCCCCAGAGCUGAUUUCUGAGCACAGCACCGUCAGUGAAGCCCACUGCAUGUGGGCUAUGUCCUGUCAUAGCUUUGAUUCCAUCUGUGCUUAUUUUUCCUGAAGACAAUGCUCGUCUAUGCAAAAUUGUACUGGCUUCUUGAUCCUGAAAAAUUAAUUAUUCGGGUUAAUAGAAAUUAUACUUUUUCUAUCCUAAACUCGCCCCGCAUCAAAAUUACCUUGCAUCCAGGAAGCCCUCAGUAAACAUUAAUUCAGGAUUUUCUUUGUUUUGUUGAAGUGUAAAAACAUCCCCAGACUCUGGCUGAAACCAUUGUUUAUUGUCUUGGUUGGGUAAAUCCUCUAUUUUAAAAUUGUAUUUGUUGCUCCGAAUUUUUUACUAAUUGAUCCUAGUUUGUGAAUUGGUCCACUUGAUCAUGGAAGAAACCUUAUAUACCACUUAACCGUGCAGUAUUGAUCCGCUAAAUCUAUCUGCUUGCCUCUGUCAAUGGCUUCACUUAGCAGCCUCAAGAGAGAAAACCUGGUUUUGGUCUCAUAGCUUUGGUUGAGCCGAUGGUCUCCAAUCUCCAAAGUGGGAUAAACCAGAUUGCUUCACUGUGUUUAUCUUGGCCCGCCAUGUCUCUUUAAGGAGAAAAUGGUCCAAAUAAAGUGCUUCCUCUGUGUAUUUUGACAGGAAACACUACUAAUAUGCUUUCCUUUUGUUGUGUGCCUUUCUCCUUUCUCCCAAUGUUGUUUAAAUAUUUUCAGUACAAUGACAUAUUUAUUAAUCCACUACUCUCUGCAUGGGACAUGAAAUGAUUGGUUCUUUUGUAAAGCCCUCUUAGAAAAGGUGGUUUCUCCAGUGAGAGUUAAUAAUAUUACCACUAUUCAUGUAAAAAAAUGCUGAGACAAUCUCUUAAAAAUGGAACACAUUUAUCUAAAACAGCUGGUAAAGAAAGCACACAGGCCCAGCCAGAGGCGGCGAGGUCAGAGGUCAGGGUUAACACCGAUCUUGGUGGAACUUUGAAGCUGACAUUUUACAGAUUAUAUGUGUCUCAGUGCACAGUGGGCAUGGCAUAUAAAUUGGACUUAGAGGCCCCUAUUUGUUCUCUGCAUUUUUAUGAGCCCACAGAGCUCUUCUUUGAAACAGCAUACAUAGAAAAUAAAAACUCAUUUUAAUGUUGUAGAACUAUUUACAAUAAAUCACAUUUACAUCCUGCCUUUUCAUAAGUAUAAAAUCUCUCUCUCUCUCUGUCUGUCACAGACACACACACACACACACACACACACACACAAGCAUACACACACAUUCAUGGAGUCUAUUUCCCAACCGGGGUAGCUUAUUUUUCACCUUACAAUAUUGUAAACCUAGCUUCCUGUCUCUCCUUGCCUUGACUUAGGAAUCAGAUCAGAGAUACAGCUAUAUUUAGUACCACAAGGACACCUUUUGUAAGUCAUGUGAGGUGAUUCAGCUAGAACGAGCACUCUUCACUCCCAGGACCAUCCCCUGAUACUAUAAAAUGCUUGCUAUAGCAUGGCACUUCAGCAUUAGAAGAAAGCAUCUGAUUUCAAAGAGAUUGAGUUCCACUCUGGAACUAAUUAUAUCAUUCGUUUUAUGGAUUUUUUUUAAGUUGCUAGGUGUUUUAACUGGAGAAGACUGGCGACUGAGAGAGAAACGUACUGGCAGAGAUUCUGCCAUGGGCGCUUUAGCCACCUAAUUAAUUUUCAAUAAAAACUCGCAAUAGUUAAUUUGCUCUGGACCCCAAUGUAAAUCAAACUGAGACAAAUAGGUUAAAAUUAGAAAUGUGUGAUGGAAACCAUGUUUAUGGUCAAAAUUACCUUUCACCCUGGAAAUAACACAGAUUGACAGGGAAAGAAAAUGAGACCACACAGGUUUUUGUUCAAAGAGACUCUUAAGUGAAUUAAAUAUUUUAUUAAGGGGAAACGUGGACCAAAAAAAAAAAGUAUCCAGGAUCUAUGAAAUGAUGUUAUUUUAAUAAAAAGUGAAGUUUUAAAAAGAGUUACCUUAAAAAAUUAAGACAUCACUUUCAUUGUACAAAGUUGCCUGGUACCCCCUUUUAUUUUUUUUCCCAGGUUUAACAUGAUGUAGGGUAUAAUAGUAAAAAUACUAUAAAGUUAUCAAGUUCCUGGGUCUAAGUUGGCAGACAUACCCACCCAGCGCCACAGUCCUUCAGCGCCUAUGUUCCAAAACAUUACUUUCCAACAUCGAGUAAUCAUUUUUACUUUUACGAGAACACAGACAUAGAUUUUUUAUGAUUUUAUAAUUAUACUUCAAUCC
ensembl:lncRNA